rnacentral:rRNA from 1 species
CGUGUAGGCGGCCAAGCAAGUCGGGUGUGAAAGCCCUCGGCUUAACCGAGGAAGUGCGCCCGAAACUACUUGGCUUGAGUACCGGAGAGGGUGGCGGAAUUCCCGGUGUAGAGGUGAAAUUCGUAGAUAUCGGGAGGAACACCAGUGGCGAAGGCGGCCACCUGGACGGAUACUGACGCUGAGACGCGAAAGCGUGGGUAGCAAACA